rnacentral:rRNA from 1 species
AACAUCUAAGUACCCCGAGGAAAAGAAAUCAACCGAGAUUCCGAAAGUAGCGGCGAGCGAAAUUGGACUAGCCCUUAAGCUUUACACGCGUUAGACGAACGGUCUGGAAAGUCCGACGAUACAGGGUGAUAGUCCCGUAGUUGACGACGUGUGUUCAGUGAAAUCGAGUAGGGCGGGACACGUGAUAUCCUGUCUGAAUAUGGGGGGACCAUCCUCCAAGGCUAAAUACUACUGACUGACCGAUAGUGAACCAGUACCGUGAGGGAAAGGCGAAAAGAACCCCUGUGAGGGGAGUGAAAUAGAACCUGAAACCGUGUACGUACAAGCAGUAGGAGCAGGCUUUGUCCUGUGACUGCGUACCUUUUGUAUAAUGGGUCAGCGACUUAUAUUCAGUGGCAAGGUUAACCAUCUAGGGGAGCCGUAGGGAAACCGAGUCUUAACUGGGCGUUCAGUCUCUGGAUAUAGACCCGAAACCAGGUGAUCUAGCCAUGGGCAGGUUGAAGGUUGAGUAACAUCAACUGGAGGACCGAACCGACUAAUGUUGAAAAAUUAGCGGAUGACUUGUGGCUAGGGGUGAAAGGCCAAUCAAACCUGGAGAUAGCUGGUUCUCCCCGAAAGCUAUUUAGGUAGCGCCUCGGACGAAUACUACUGGGGGUAGAGCACUGUUAAGGCUAGGGGGUCAUCCCGACUUACCAACCCUUUGCAAACUCCGAAUACCAGUAAGUACUAUCCGGGAGACACACGGCGGGUGCUAACGUCCGUCGUGGAGAGGGAAACAACCCAGACCGCCAGCUAAGGUCCCAAAUUACUACUAAGUGGGAAACGAUGUGGGAAGGCUCAGACAGCCAGGAUGUUGGCUUAGAAGCAGCCAUCAUUUAAAGAAAGCGUAAUAGCUCACUGGUCGAGUCGGCCUGCGCGGAAGAUGUAACGGGGCUAAGUAGUAAACCGAAGCUGCGGCAAUGUGCUUUUGCACAUUGGGUAGGGGAGCGUUCUGUAAGCGGUUGAAGGUGUGUGGUAACGCAUGCUGGACGUAUCAGAAGUGCGAAUGCUGACAUGAGUAACGAUAAAGGGGGUGAAAAACCUCCUCGCCGGAAGACCAAGGGUUCCUGUCCAACGUUAAUCGGGGCAGGGUAAGUCGACCCCUAAGGCGAGGCCGAAAGGCGUAGUCGAUGGGAAACGGGUUAAUAUUCCCGUACUUCUUACAAUUGCGAUGGGGGGACGGAGAAGGCUAGGUGGGCCUGGCGACGGUUGUCCAGGUUCAAGUGCGUAGGCUUAAGAGUUAGGUAAAUCCGGCUCUUUUUAAGGCUGAGACACGACGUCGAGCCACUACGGUGGUGAAGUCAUUGAUGCCAUGCUUCCAGGAAAAGCCUCUAAGCUUCAGAUUGUAAGGAAUCGUACCCCAAACCGACACAGGUGGUCGGGUAGAGAAUACCAAGGCGCUUGAGAGAACUCGGGUGAAGGAACUAGGCAAAAUGGUACCGUAA